UACGGAGGGGACGAGCGUUGUCCGAAGUUACUGGGCGUAAAGCGCGCGUAGGCGGGUUGGCAAGUCUGCUGUGAAAGCCCGGGGCUUAACCCCGGAGGGUCGGUGGAUACUGCCAGUCUUGAAGGUGCUAGGGGGAGAUGGAAUUACCGGUGUAGCGGUGAAAUGCGUAGAUAUCGGUAGGAACACCAGUGGCGAAGGCGGUCUCCUGGGGCACUCUUGACGCUGAGGCGCGAAAGCUGGGGGGAGCGAACGGG
rnacentral:rRNA from 1 species